rnacentral:rRNA from 1 species
CCCUAGUAUAAGUAAAGCAUUUUAUUAGUAAAAGUUGUGAAAAUAAAUAUUUUUGGCGGUUGAUUGUUUAUUAGAGGAGCUUGUUAUUAAUAGAAUUUACUCUUUAUAUUUAAAUAAAAAAUAGCUUAUUCAUCUCCGUUAUUAGAUAACUAUUAAUAAAAUUAAUUUUUUUAUUUCAGGUCAAGAUGUAGCAUUUUUUAUUUUUAAUUAGCUACAUUUAUGAAUGAAUGUGGAUUCUAAAAAUUUUAAGUUGAAAGAAAUUGAAUUUAAUUGUAAUAUUUAUUAUAAUAUAAGUAUGAAUUGUUUCAAUUGAUGUA